rnacentral:rRNA from 1 species
UACGGAAGGGGCUAGCGUUGUUCGGGAUUACUGGGCGUAAAGAGCGCGUAGGCGGCUUACCAAGUUGGGGGUGAAAUCCCGGAGCUCAACUCCGGAACUGCCUUCAAAACUGGUAGGCUCGAGUCCGGAAGAGGGGCGUGGAAUUCCCAGUGUAGAGGUGAAAUUCGUAGAUAUUGGGAAGAACACCGGUGGCGAAGGCGGCGCCCUGGUCCGGUACUGACGCUGAGGCGCGAAAGCGUGGGGAGCAAACAGG